CGCCCCGGGCUCGCGCCAGGCCCGGGUCACUCCCGGGCGAUGACCGGCCUCAGCCCCGAUCUGACCCGGCGGGGAGUGGGUCCCGGAUGAGGAGGCGUCCGGCGAGGGAGGAGUCCUGGGAUGUGAGAGUAUCCGGGGCCCUGGGGGAAGAAUGGAAAGUGGUCCAGACUUCGGUGGUCCCAGGCACCCCUGGACCCAGGGCAUCCAGAUGGACGCAUAGGACGCCCCCAGUCCCUAAACGCCCCACUUGGUGGAACUGCGUGAGGGUGGCGGGCGGGGGGGUGGAAGCGGUGAUGAAGCAGCUAGAAAAUGUGCCCCUGGGCAGCUCAGCCCAAGUGUGCUGCUGGGGAGGGACUGUGGAGAGAAGCCUGAAAUCCUUACUCAUCUUUCAUAGUCAUCUUUUAUAAUCCGGGAACUAGCCGAAUUGGUAGACUUUGUUAGUGGUUGUCCAGGCUGCCCCAGAGUUUAGGGUAAAACAAAAGGCUGCUUUGUUGAGGUUAAAAUUUUAUUUACCUUUUGUAUCCUCAUAAAUUGUGUGAUACUGAAAAAUUUCUCAUAGUAUAUUUCACAUUUUUUCCCCUUCUGAGAUAUCUUUACAAUGUCUUCUUACCAGGAAGGACUAAAAGGAAACCUACUGGCUUUUCUAUUGGUGACAAAGGCACACAAGAAUGAGCAUGAAGGUUUUCCUGCCCUCUGGAAAAGAGAUGGCAGGCCUGUGUGCAGUUUUGUUUUCUGCUGUCUCUCCUGUGCCUACAUCAGUGUUGGACACAUAGCAGAUCAUCAAUAACCAGGAGCACGCAGGAGGAGGACCUUCUUUGCUUCUCUGCCCCUGUUCUCCUUUAAAAAGAAUCGCAAAAUUAACAUAAGAUACAGGCGACUAGGUGAUCUAAUCAUAGAUCAAAGGAUAACUGGUUUAUCACAAGAGGGAGAGUUGGAGCAGUGAAAGAGGAACAGAAGGAGUCAACGCUUCAAGAAGUUUACAAUUUAGAUCAAGGAGAAGGUAUGAGAAACGGGUUGUCAGUUUGAGGCAUUACAGCCUUACGUGCCAAGUGGUGUGUGUAACUCCAUUUGUACCUUCAAGGAUUUUAUAAUCUCAUAAAAGACUAUUCAGGCAAAUGAUAUAUCGACGGAGUUAAAUAAAGACCAAAGCAAUGAGAAUUAUAGUAGGAGGGUGGGCUUUGGGGAGCAGAUUGCACGGAGGGAUUCAUUUUACCAAGAAAAGUUGCUAUAGUUUGCAGAGAAAGGGACAACUCAGCUGGAGUUGAAACAUGUAUCAAGAGUGCUGGACAUGAGGUAAAUGGCCUCAUGUAUUUAAUGUAUUGUUGGAUUCGGUUUGAUAGUAUUUUGUUGAGGAUUUUU